UGGGGAAUAUUGCACAAUGGGCGCAAGCCUGAUGCAGCCAUGCUGCGUGUAUGAAGAAGGCCUUCGGGUUGUAAAGUACUUUCAGCGGGGAGGAAGGGAGUAAAGUUAAUACCUUUGCCCAUUGACGUUACCCGCAGAAGAAGCACCGGCUAACUCCGUGCCAGCAGCCGCGGUAAUACGGAGGGUGCAAGCGUUAAUCGGAAUUACUGGGCGUAAAGCGCACGCAGGCGGUUUGUUAAGUCAGAUGUGAAAUCCCCGGGCUCAACCUGGGAACUGCAUCUGAUACUGGCAAGCUUGAGUCUCGUAGAGGAGGGUAGAAUUCCAGGUGUAGCGGUGAAGUGCGUAGAGAUCUGGAGGAAUACCGGUGGCGAAGGCGGCCCGCUGGACGAUGACUGACGCUCAGGUGCGAAAGAGUGAGGAGCAAACGGG
rnacentral:rRNA from 1 species